UCACCAAACUCUUGAUAGGGUC
rnacentral:siRNA from 1 species